GAGAAGGGGGUGCUCUUCCGCCCCCACGCCGUCUCCGCGCCUCGGCGUGGCCGCUCCUUGAGCGGCUCCCGGAGUAGCACAGCCAGAUCGCGGUUAGCCUUGGGAGGGGGCCCCGGGUUCCCCCGUGCGCAACAGCCGGAGGAUCCCGGGGCUCUCGAUGUCCCCAAGGCCGGCGGGGACUGCGGGAGCACUCACCAGUUUGGGUGGUAAACUACCCAAAACAACACAGAAGAGAAAAUCCAUGCUCCCAGACAGGGUGGACAAGGAGCCCUAAGAAAACUUUAGGACAGAGACACACAGAGGAAGACCAUGUGACAAUACAGGGAAAAGAUAGCCAUCUGCAAGCUGAGGAGAGAGGCCUGAGAAGAAACCGACCCUGCCAAUACUUUAGUCUGAGACUUCCAACCUCCAGAAUUGCAAGAAAAUAAAUUUCCAUUGAAGCCACCCAGUCUGUGGUGCUUUGUUAUGACAGCCCUAGCAACUAAUACAAUAACUAAAAGAUUGUUUUGGUGCUAGUCUGGAACACAGAAGGCCUACACUUGUGGUGUUACAAAAAACUUCCAAGAGAAGGAAACAAUGGCAUUUAGUACAAAGGUGUGGAGUAAGAAGCCUCCAAGAUGAAGAAACUAUAAGGAGACCAAACUGGUUGGAGUUAUGAAGGGAAAGUGGCCAGAGAUGAAGUUGGAGAGCCCAGUUCAAAACUCCGUAAGAAGAAAAUGAUGAAUGGAAAAGAAUAAGAAGGAGAAAAAUGUGCCAUAGGAGACAUUUAGUAGACACUAUUUUAAUGUGUCUAGCAUAGCUCUGCAUAGUUUUACACCUUUAUGAGUUUAUUGUGAUAAAGGUGACAGGGAGAUGUAGGCUCCAGGCAUUACUAAAUAAUGAUACAAUGUUGAGUUUUACUUGAUACUUCUAUUAAAAUAUUUUCACAAAGUCUGUGCUCUUUCAAUCUAGCCUAAAGAGUACUAACAUAAAAAGUCCUAACACUGGCAAAGGGAAUCAAAAUUACCCCCUUUCUCUUCCAUCUAGUUUGGCCUCUCUUUAGUUUGGCCAAGUCUGGAUGAAAGGCACUUGUUAUCAGCUUGUGUACCUAAAAGUGAAAACAGUAAUGUCCAAAGUCUACUGCCCAUUUAUUGACUGGAUUAUUUGUUUUUUAGGUGUUGAGUUUGAGAAGUUCUUUAUAGAUCUUGGAUACUAGUCCUUUAUCCGUAAUGUCAUUUGCAAAUAUCUUCUCCCAUUCCAUGGGUUGCCUAUUAGUUUUGUUGACUGUUUCCUUUGCUGUGCAGAAGCUUUUUAUCUUGAUGUAAUCCCAAAAAUUCAUUUUUCUUUUUGUUUCCCUUGCCUUUAGAGACAUGUCUUGAAAGAGGUCACUGUGGCCAAUGUCAAAGAGGUUACUUCCUAUAUUCCCCUCUAGGAUUUUGAUGGAUUCCUGUCUCACACAGAGAGACAACACGAGAGAAGGAACACAAGCAGGGGGAGAGGAAGAGGGAGAAGCAGGCUUCCCACUGAGCAGGGAGCCCGAUGUGGGGCUUGAUCCCAGGACCCUGAGAUCAUGACCUGAGCUGAAGGCAAACGCUUAAUGACUGAGCCACCCAGGCACCCCUGGAUUUAUCAGUUUAUUUAUCCAUUCACCUACUGAAGGACAUUUUGGUUGCUUGCAAAUUUUGACAAUGAUGAAUAAAGCUUCUAUAAACAUCCUUGUGCAGGUUUUCCUGUGGUCAUAAGUUUAAAUUCAGUACCAAGGAGCAUGAUUGUUAGAUUGUAUGGUAAGAGUGUGUUUCAUUUUGUAAAAUACUACCAAACUGUCUUCCAAAGUGAAUGUAACAUUUUGUAUUCCUAUCAGAAAUGAAUGAGAGUUUCUGUUGCUCCACAUCCUCACCAUCAUUUGGUGUUGUCAGUGUUCUAGAUUUUGGCUUUUCUAAUAGAUAUGUAGUGGUCCUAUUGUUGUUUUAGUUUGCAGUUCCCUAAUUACACAUGAUGUUGAGUAUAUUUUCAUAUGCUUAUUUGCUAUCUAUGUUUUGGUGAGAUGUAUGUUCAGAUCUGUUGCCCAUUUUAUUGUGUUGUUUAUUUUCUUAUUGUUGAGUUUUAAGAGUUCUUUGUAUAUUUUGGAUGGCAGCCCUUUAUCAAAUAUGUGUUUUGCAAAUAUUUCUUUCCAGUCUCUGGAUUGUCUUCUUAUUAUCUCACCAGUGUCUUUUGCAGAACUGAAGUUUUUCAUUUUAAUAUCAAUUAUUUCUUUCAUGGUGUUGUAUCUAAAAAGUCAUUGCCAAACCCAAAGUCAUCUAGGUUUUCUAAGUUAUCUGUUAGAAACUUUAUAAUUUUGAGUUUUACAAUUAUGUAUAUUAUUCAUUUUGAAGUAAUUUUUUUUAAAAGAUUUUAUUUAUUUAUUCAUGAGAGACAGAGAGAGAGAGAGAGGCAGAGGGAGAAGCAGGCUCCCAAGGAGCAGGGAGCCCGAUGUGGGACUCGAUCCCAGGACCCUGGGAUCAUGACCUGAGCCGAAGGCAGACGCUUAACCAUCUGAGCCACCCAGGCGCCCUUGAAGUAAUUUUUGUACAGAAUGUAAGGUCUGUCUAGAUUCAUUUUUUUUUACAUGCAGAUGUCCAUUUGUUUCAACACCAUUCAUUGAAAGACUGUCUUUUCGUCAUUGUAUUGCUUUUCAUCCUUUGUCAAAGAUCAGUUAACUAUAUUUGCAUGGAUCUAUUUCUGAGCUCUCUAUUCUGUUUCACUGAUCUAUUUGUCUAUUCUUAAGACCAUGCUGUCUUGAUUAAUAUAGCUUUAAGGUAAAUCUUGAAAUCACGUAGUGGCAGUCCUCUGGCUUCUUCUUCAUGAAUAUUAUGUUGGCUAUUCUGGGUCUUAUGCAUAUAAACUUUAGAAUAAAACUUUAUAUAAACUUUAGAAUCAGUUUAUUGAUAUCCACAAAAUAACUUCCUGAGAUUUUCCUUACUUUUAAAACUUCCCAUUUUGAGACUUCAGUCUGAGAAAUA